rnacentral:lncRNA from 1 species
GCCUGAGGAUGGGCACAUUCCUCGCUCCCGGCGCCUUAUCGCUAGGCUCGCGCCGCCCCGGCUGGCUGUUUGGGGACGGAGAACCCACGGCGCUGCCCUGGGCUCUCCGGUGUCCCUGGCCCCCGUGCCCCGCGGCCGCCUCGACUUACCCGCGGAGUCCGGGGAGGAAGUGGGAGCGCCGCCUUCACGCCCGCGGAGGAGGCGCCGGCAGCACCAUGGUCCCCGGUGCCGCUGCCGCUGCCGCUGCCCCCGGCCCGCUCGCUCGCCGCGCGCUCUCUUUCUCUUGCAAACUUUCGGGUUCUGCAGUCGACAAGAAACCGGGGCGACCCUCAGCAAGCCUUCCCCGUGCAGGCAGGGGGCAACUGAAGGGGACGGGACGGGUGCAGAAAUGACCUAAGAUCUUAAUCUCUCCGAGCCUCGGACUUCACAUCCAGAAAACAGGGGUAACUGACAGUACACACACAGUGCAUCGUGCACCCGGAGUACUACUGAUACGGAGAAGGUCUUGAUGAGUGAUCACACUGGCUACUGUUUUCACGGCUAAUGUGAAAUGAAGCUGCUUCAUCAACAGCCAAAACCCAAACCAGGCAUCAUGUGCAGGAUCCUGGGGAGACAGGACUAGACUGUGGUGGUAGCUAAGAGCACUUGCACCUCACCAACUGUAUCAGAUGCUGCCCAAAUCUGGUGUUACACAAAGGAGAUACCCUUCAACAGGGUUUCCGAAC